GAUGAAGAACGUAGCGAAAUGCGAUACUUGGUGUGAAUUGCAGAAUCCCGUGAACCAUCGAGUCUUUGAACGCAAGUUGCGCCCGAAGCCAUUAGGCCGAGGGCACGCCUGCCUGGGCGUCACACGUCGUUGCCCCCCCAUCUACUCCUUCGGGAUUGCGGGGGGCGGAUGAUGGCCUCCCGUGCGCCUCGUCGCGCGGUUGGCAUAAAUGCCAAGUCCUCGGCGACGCACGCCACGACAAUCGGUGGUUGCGAAACCUCGGUUGCCCGUCGUGUGCGGUCGUCGCGCAUCGAGGGCUCGAAAAAAUUGUCGGGCUCCGGCUCGGCUUUCAACGCGACCCAAGGUCAGGCGGGGUUACCCGCUGAAUUUAAGCAUAUCAAUAAGCGGAGGA
rnacentral:misc_RNA from 1 species